GGAAAAUGUUUAUUUUUGAUGAUUUAGGCCCUUAAGUUAGCAGUAAAAGUUCUGUUUGUUUGAAAAAUUGACGACGUUUCGGACGUUCAUGUUGGGCUUCUUCGGGGUUAAAACAGGGGUUUAUUGGCAUCAUUUUUUUGCAGCAGCAUAGCGGGCUUUCCUGAGGAUUAAUUUAAGGUAAAAAACGUUGGUGUAUCUGCAACAUUUACUGAGAUAACCCCAUUUUAAAACUUUCGAAAAGCGAAUAACUUUUAAAGUAUUUGAGGCAUUGGAGGGAAUUUUACUGUAAAAUUUAAAGCGUUUCAUGAAGAAUAAUUCUAUGUAUGAUAGUCUUUUGUAGCACAACAACUUUUUGAGUUACAGAGUGUUUUCUUAGGCAAAGACCUAAAAAAACAAAAAUUCGCCCCUUUAUAGGCAUUUUUGGUGAUAACUUAAAAACCAUUCAACAUAUUUUCAUAAUUUUUUCGCAGUAAUAUAAAGGGCUUUCUGAGGAUGGAUUUAAGGUAAAAAACGUUGUUGUAGCUCAAAAACUCACCCAGUUCUGGCUGAGUCUGUUCAAGUCUCUUUUUUAACAGAAAUUUUCAACUUUGAGGCUGUAUAACUUUAAAACUGUUUGAGGUAUUUGAGGGAGAUUUACACUCAAAUUUAGCGAGUUUCUCGAGCAACAAUUCUAUGUAUUUAAGUCUUUUGUAGCACAAAAACUUUCUUAGUUACAGAGUGUUUUAUUAGACAAGGUCCUAAAAAAACAACAAUUUUCCCCUUAAUAGGCAUUUUUGGUGAUAACUUAAAAACCACUCAACAUAUUUUCACAAUUCUUUCGCAGUAGUAUAAAGGGCUUCCUGAGGAUGGAUUUAAGGUGAAAACCGUUGUUGUAGCUCAAAAACUCACCCAGUUCUGGUUGAGUCUGUUCAAGUCUCUUUUUUAUCGGAAAUUUUCAACUUUGAGGCUGUAUAACAUAAAAACUGUUUGAGGUAUUUGAGGGAGUUUUACACUCAAAUUUAGCGAGUUUCUCGAGCAACAAUUCUAUGUAUUAAAGUCUUUUGUAGCACAAACACUUUCUUAGUUACAGAGUGUUUUAUUAGACAAGGUCCUAAAAAAACAACAAUUUGCCCCCUAAUAGGCAUUUUUGGUGAUAACUUAAAAACCACUCAGCAUAUUUUCAUAAUUCUUUCUCAGUAGUAUAAAGGGCUUUCUGAGGAUGGAUCUAAGGUAAAAAACGUUGUUGUAGCUCAAAAACUCGCCCAGUUCGGGUUGAGUCUGUUUAAGUCUCUUUUUUAUCGGAAAUUUUCAACUUUGAGGCUGUAUACCUUUAAAACUGUUUGAGGUAUUUGAGGGAGUUUUACACUCAAAUUUAGCGAGUUUCUCGAGCAACAAUUCAAUGUAUUUAAGUCUUUUGUAGCACAAAAAGUUUCUUAGUUACAGAGUGUUUUAUUAGACAAGGUCCUAAAAAAACAAAAAUUUGCUCCCUAAUAGGCAUUUUUGGUGAUAACUUAAAAACCACUCAACAUAUUUUCAUAAUUCUUUCGCAGUAGUAUAAAGGGCUUCCUGAGGAUGGAUUUAAGGUGAAAACCGUUGUUGUAGCUCAAAAACUCACCCAGUUCUGGUUGAGUCUGUUCAAGUCUCUUUUUUAUCGGAAAUUUUCAACUUUGAGGCUGUAUAACUUCAAAACUCUUUGAGGUAUUUAAGAAAGUCUUACACUGAAAUUUAGAGAGCUUCUCGAUCAAUAAUUUCAUGUAUUAUAGAUUUUUGUAGCACAUAAACUUCUUGAGUUACAGAGUGUUUUAUUAGACAAGGUCCUAAAAAACAAAAAUUUGCUCCCUAAUAGGCAUUUUUGGUGAUAACUUAAAAACCACUCAACAUAUUUUCAUAAUUCUUUCGCAGUAGUAUAAAGGGCUUCCUGAGGAUGGAUUUAAGGUGAAAACCGUUGUUGUAGCUCAAAAACUCACCCAGUUCUGGUUGAGUCUGUUCAAGUCUCUUUUUUAUCGGAAAUUUUCAACUUUGAGGCUGUAUAACUUCAAAACUCUUUGAGGUAUUUAAGAAAGUCUUACACUGAAAUUUAGAGAGCUUCUCGAUCAAUAAUUUCAUGUAUUAUAGAUUUUUGUAGCACAUAAACUUCUUGAGUUACAGAGUGUUUUAUUAGACAAGGUCCUAAAAAAACAAACAUUUGCCCCCUAAUAGGCAUUUUUGGUGAUAACUUAAAAACCACUCAACAUAUUUUCAUAAUUCUUUCGCAGUAGUAUAAAGGGCUUCCUGAGGAUGGAUUUAAGGUGAAAACCGUUGUUGUAGCUCAAAAACUCACCCAGUUCUGGUUGAGUCUGUUCAAGUCUCUUUUUUAUCGGAAAUUUUCAACUUUGAGGCUGUAUAACUUCAAAACUCUUUGAGGUAUUUAAGAAAGUCUUACACUGAAAUUUAGAGAGCUUCUCGAUCAAUAAUUUCAUGUAUUAUAGAUUUUUGUAGCACAUAAACUUCUUGAGUUACAGAGUGUUUUAUUAGACAAGGUCCUAAAAAAACAAACAUUUGCCCCCUAAUAGGCAUUUUUGGUGAUAACUUAAAAACCACUCAGCAUAUUUUCAUAAUUCUUUCGCAGUAGUAUAAAGGGCUUUCUGAGGAUGGAUUUAAGGUGAAAACCGUUGUUGUAGCUCAAAAACUCACCCAGUUCUGGUUGAGUCUGUUCAAGUCUCUUUUUUAUCGGAAAUUUUCAACUUUGAGGCUGUAUAACAUAAAAACUGUUUGAGGUAUUUGAGGGAGAUUUACACUCAAAUUUAGCGAGUUUCUCGAGCAACAAUUCUAUGUAUUUAAGUCUUUCGUAGCAUAAAAACUUUUUGAGUUAUAUAGACGUUCUAAAAUAGACUCAAGAAAAAAUCUUAAGAGGUAAUUAUGAGGAUAACUAAAAAACUAUUUAACAUAUUUUCAUAAUUCUUUUACACUAGCAUAAUAGCUUUCUUGAGGGUCGAUUUAAGGUACGAAAGGCUCCUCUAGCUUAAAAACUUCUUGAGUUAUAAGCAGUUACAUCAAACAAAGUCGUAAAACCGAAUUUGCAUCCCAUAACGGGCAUUUUUGAGUAUAAUUCAAAAACCACUCCACGUAUUUUGAUAAUUCUUUCACAGUACCUUAAAGGGCUUCCUGAAGAAGGAUUUAAGGUGCGAAACGUUGCUCUAGUCCAAAAUCUUUCCAAGAUAACGCCCUUCUGGUCCAACCAAACUUUUCCGCGGCAUCACACAAUCAGUUUCGGUCCUGAAGAAGACACACGCCAAAAGUCCAGAACGUCGUGAAUUUUUCAAGAAACAACCAGAACGUAAAAGCGAACCGUAAAACCGUGUACCUACCU